UUCUCUCUUCGCGCUCUAGCAUCGAUCGUUGUCCUCUCCGGUCCGAGCUUGCAGCUGAUGCUAUCAAAGCAACCUUUCCACUUUCAGGAUGGGUAGCCAUUGAGACCGCCUGAACAUUUUGGGUAGCAACGGCGGAUGGGUUCCAUGUUGGAACUUGGAAGCCGGUACCUUCCUCAGCCUCAGCGAUUUCUAUCUCAAUGGAAGCAUCAUCCUCGCCAUAUCAACUUGUUCAAAAGCGCCUUAUUGUUUCCUCCCUCAACAGCGUUUUGUUUUUGUUUUUGUUUUUUUUUUUUUUGCUUUUUUUCUGCUAUUAGGUGGGUAUUAAUUUCAAAGCACGGGAUGCCUGUAGCCUUAGGGUGUAAUAUCGGGUUGGGAAGGGUGUUAUUCUUUUCGGUGUGGGUCGGGUCCUCGGGCCCAAGCCCAUACCCAAAAAACAGCUCCGCCUAUUGGGGAUGAGGGGUUGUAAUUCCACCCAAUAAACAGAACUAGGGUUUUAACGCCUCUCCUAUAUAACCUCUUUGGUAUCAUCAUGAGUGUUGUUAUAGUUGUGCAGUUUGCAAGGCCAAGAGGUUCUAAGCUCAGCUUAGAAGAAUACUAUGGAGGUGAAGUAAGAAAUAACAUUCUAAUGGACUAGAACAGAAGCAAAGAGGAGGCAAACCUUGCUGGACGACUUAAGGAUUAAGGGCUGGAUAUUGACAUUUUCUUUAGAUAUAGGUAUCUGAAUGUGAAGGGGCUGACUCAAUUACAUUGUAAUUGUCACGAUUAAGGUUUUUGUUUUGGCUGUUGGUUUGCUAUUUAUUACCAUCACUGGAUAAGGAUAUGUAUACAUUUCCUAUAAUAAAAUGUCAAUUUGGUUACAAUUUUGAAUA